rnacentral:rRNA from 1 species
CCUACGGGAGGCAGCAGUGGGGAAUAUUGGACAAUGGGCGAAAGCCUGAUCCAGCAAUGCCGCGUGAGUGAUGAAGGCCUUAGGGUUGUAAAGCUCUUUUACCAGGGAUGAUAAUGACAGUACCUGGAGAAUAAGCUCCGGCUAACUCCGUGCCAGCAGCCGCGGUAAUACGGAGGGAGCUAGCGUUGUUCGGAAUUACUGGGCGUAAAGCGCGCGUAGGCGGUGACUCAAGUCAGAGGUGAAAGCCCGGGGCUCAACCCCGGAACUGCCUUUGAAACUAGGUCGCUAGAAUCUUGGAGAGGCGAGUGGAAUUCCGAGUGUAGAGGUGAAAUUCGUAGAUAUUCGGAAGAACACCAGUGGCGAAGGCGACUCGCUGGACAAGUAUUGACGCUGAGGUGCGAAAGUGUGGGGAGCAAACAGGAUUAGAUACCCUGGUAGUCCACACCGUAAACGAUGAUAACUAGCUGUCCGCGC